UUCCUACGGGACGCAGCAGUAGGGAAUUUUCGGCAAUGGGGGGAACCCUGACCGAGCAACGCCGCGUGAACGAAGAAGUUAUUCGUAAUGUAAAGUUCUUUUAUCAGGGAAGAAAGAGGAAUUUGACGGUACCUGAGGAAUAAGCUCCGGCUAACUACGUGCCAGCAGCCGCGGCAAUACGUAGGGGGCAAGCGUUAUCCGGAUUCACUGGGUGUAAAGGGAGCGUAGACGGCCAUGCAAGCCUGGAGUGAAAGCCCGGGGCCCAACCCCGGGACUGCUCUGGGAACUGUGCGGCUGGAGUGCGG
rnacentral:rRNA from 1 species